GUAGGUGAACCUGCGGAAGGAUCAUUACCAUUCAAAAAAACUUAGACCCACGGGGGCACGCUCUCCAAUAGGACAGUCAGUAGAUGUACGGUUCUGCUGGCUGGCAGUCGAACGGAAGGUAGUUUCCAUUUAUGGUUCUGCCUUGGCUAGUAAGCUGAUCGAGCUGCCUGUCUGGACCCACCCUUGCUUUUUGCGCACCCAUUGUUUCCUCGGCAGGCUUGCCUGCCAGUAGGACCCCCUUUAAACCUUU
rnacentral:misc_RNA from 1 species